UGGGGAAUAUUGCACAAUGGGCGCAAGCCUGAUGCAGCCAUGCCGCGUGUAUGAAGAAGGCCUUCGGGUUGUAAAGUACUUUCAGCGGGGAGGAAGGCGAUAAGGUUAAUAACCUUGUCGAUUGACGUUACCCGCAGAAGAAGCACCGGCUAACUCCGUGCCAGCAGCCGCGGUAAUACGGAGGGUGCAAGCGUUAAUCGGAAUUACUGGGCGUAAAGCGCACCCAGGCGGUCUGUCAAGUCGGAUGUGAAAUCCCCGGGCUCAACCUGGGAACUGCAUUCGAAACUGGCAGGCUAGAGUCUUGUAGAGGGGGGUAGAAUUCCAGGUGUAGCGGUGAAAUGCGUAGAGAUCUGGAGGAAUACCGGUGGCGAAGGCGGCCCCCUGGACAAAGACUGACGCUCAGGUGCGAAAGCGUGGGGAGCAAACA
rnacentral:rRNA from 1 species